UACGUAGGGGGCUAGCGUUGUCCGGAAUCAUUGGGCGAAAAGAGCGUGUAGGCGGCCCGGUAAGUCCGCUGUGAAAGUCGGGGGCUCAACCCUCGAAUGCCGGUGGAUACUGUCGGGCUAGAGUGCGGAAGAGGCGAGUGGAAUUCCUGGUGUAGCGGUGAAAUGCGCAGAUAUCAGGAGGAACACCAAUUGCGAAGGCAGCUCGCUGGGACGUAACUGACGCUGAGACGCGAAAGCGUGGGGAGCAAACAGG
rnacentral:rRNA from 1 species